rnacentral:rRNA from 1 species
CAGUAGCCACGGUAAUGCGUAGGGUGCAAGCGUUAAUCGGAAUUACUGGGCGUAAAGCGUGCGCAGGCGGUUUGUUAAGACAGAUGUGAAAUCCCCGGGCUCAACCUGGGAACUGCAUUUGUGACUGGCAAGCUAGAGUGUGGCAGAGGGGGGUGGAAUUCCGCGUGUAGCAGUGAAAUGCGUAGAUAUGCGGAGGAACACCGAUGGCGAAGGCAGCCCCCUGGGCCAACACUGACGCUCAUGCACGAAAGCGUGGGGAGCAAACAGGAUUAGAUACCCGGGUAGUCCCUGUCUCUUAUAC